CCUGGCUCAGAUUGAACGCUGGCGGCAUGCUUAACACACGCAAGUCGAACGGCAGCAUUAUCUAGCUUGCUAGAGAGAUGGCGAGUGGCGAACGGGUGAGUAACGCGUAGGAAUAUACCUUGAAGAGUGGGACAACUUGGGGAAACUCAAGCUAAUACCGCAUAAUAUCUAAGGAUGAAAGCUGGGGACCUUUGGGCCUGGCGCUUUAAGAUUAGCCU
rnacentral:rRNA from 1 species